AUACAUACCUGGCCGGGGAGCUACCAUGGUCACGAAGGCAGUUUCCCAAGGCAAGGCUCAUCCACUGCGCUCUGGGUGUGCUGACACCCGGGAGUUUCCCGAACGUGGAAUCUUGGCUGCAUGACUUGUGGUCGCAGACGACUGCAUUCGCGCUCUCCCCAG